UGAGAGGAGCUGCGGAAAUUAAAUAAAUUCUAAACAAACAGCUUAUUGAUAUAUUGCCUAGUAACUCGAAGCCGAAUGUAACCUCAGAAGAUCAUUAUGCUUUAUUCUUUGCUAUAGAUUUUCACUGCUUCCCCGGCUUGAAUUCAGUCUGAAACAAGGAGAGUAGGGAUGUAAGGAGGUGGAGGAUGAGGAGAGAAGAGAUAUGGAAGGUGCUCUCAUGAUGGAAGGCGCUACCAGGACGGAAGGUGCUAUCAUGAUGGAAGAUGCUACCACGAUGGACAUGCUACCACGAUGGAAGGUGCUAUCAUGGUGGAAGAUGCUACCAUGACGGAGGUGAUACCGCAAUGGAAGGUGCUGCACAGCGACAUGGGUUGGCAAGGGGUCCCACUCUGGCACAGUCACUCCCCUUCCAUACACCUGCCAUCCUGGGUCCCAGGCGUGCCAUUUCUGAGCAUAACUCUAUUCCCAUACAGCAGUUUUUACAAUACAUUCAUAGAAUGCAAAUCAAGUGCAGUGUAGAGAAUGGUGGCUGCAUUUUAUAGUCUUCACGUAACUCAGAGGGGCGGAUGGAGCAGCAGGGAUGCUCAGAGGCUGCACCUCACCAGCACACACCAUUUACAAAAGGUUUGGUGAUCUUCACCAGCAAAGGAUGUGGUUGAGAAACUCUUUUGCCUUUGAAGGAAUUACACAGAAGACAUCUCUGUGCAAGACCCAUUCCUCUCCAACAAAAAACUGCUGCUCCUGUUCAUACCCAAUGCAGGUACAGGAAUCCAAAGAGCAGAUCUGGCCCAUCUUCCCACAAAUGAGGAACCAGAAGGUUUAUUUUUCUGUUCUGCCAAUGCUGCCAAUCAUCACUCACGUUUCCAUACGUGAGGCAUUUUCAAUCCCAGCUGUGCAGCAUUUACACCACUGACAUUACCCUACAGUGCAUGCAAACAGCCCAGCAGCCAGAAUCAGCCUUGCCCAAAGCUGCUCUACAGUGCAGUUUCUCCACACCCCAUUUACCUGGGGCUGUCCUGGGAGCGUGACACAGCCAAGAGCUCGAAGCCUACACAACAUCAGGACAGUGCUGCACAACAUCCAGAACCAUGCUGUGAAGAGCAGUCAGCCCUGACCUGUGCAUUGCUGCACUGUCUCUAGUUUCUGUUAUCCACAGUUGACAUUUUUCCUUUCCACAGUUCUACUUUUCUGCAUUUAUUUUCUGCACACUCCUUUUAUGUACGCUCAGUUACAAUAGUGAUCAAAGAACUCAGAAGUUCCUAUGCAAAUGAAGUUACGAAUUUGCGGUUUGGGAAGAAUGUAAAACCCACUCAUUCUAUUUAUAUUGAAAUAUUUUAAUGUAUUUUUAAUGCCUUGGCCCUGGCAAAGUGAAUUUCAUUCAAGGAAGUGAUAUAUUGAGCAAACAUUAUUCUCCUAGGUUUAUUUCUUUGUCAAAUAAUUGAUUUUUUU
rnacentral:lncRNA from 1 species